rnacentral:rRNA from 1 species
AGAGUUUGAUUAUGGCUCAGGAUGAACGCUGGCGGCAUGCCUAAUACAUGCAAGUCGAACGAGAGGAAGGAAAGCUUGCUUUUCUGAAUCUAGUGGCGAACGGGUGAGUAACACGUAGGUAACCUGCCCAUGUGCCCGGGAUAACUUCUGGAAACGGAUGCUAAAACCGGAUAGGUAGCAGACAAGCAUUUGACUGCUAUUAAAGUGGCUAUGGCCAUGAACAUGGAUGGACCUGCGGUGCAUUAGCUAGUUGGUGAGGUAACGGCCUACCAAGGCGACGAUGCAUAGCCGGCCUGAGAGGGCGGACGGCCACAUUGGGACUGAGACACGGCCCAAACUCCUACGGGAGGCAGCAGUAGGGAAUUUUCGUCAAUGGGGGGAACCCUGAACGAGCAAUGCCGCGUGAGUGAGGAAGGUCUUCGGGUCGUAAAGCUCUGUUGUAAGAGAAAAACGGCACUCAUAGGGAAUGAUGAGUGAGUGAUGGUAUCUUACCAGAAAGUCACGGCUAACUACGUGCCAGCAGCCGCGGUAAUACGUAGGUGGCGAGCGUUAUCCGGAAUGAUUGGGCGUAAAGGGUGCGUAGGUGGCAGAUCAAGUCUGGAGUAAAAGGUAUGGGCUCAACCCGUACUGGCUCUGGAAACUGAUCAGCUAGAGAACAGAAGAGGACGGCGGAACUCCAUGUGUAGCGGUG